rnacentral:lncRNA from 1 species
AUGGUGGCCUCAAGAGCCAGAGGCUGGGUCCAAUUGCUGGCCCUCUGUCAGGGUUCCCAGUCCCCACCUUCCAGCCACUCACAGGCUCCUCAUGGCACCUCCCACCCCUGCAGAUGUCCAUGCAUCCACCCAGCCUUCACACUGCCCUUGAGCGGGUGCUGGGGCUGCAGAGAUGGUCACACCCAGCUUCAGCCCUGGAGAAGCUCAGGUAACUACCCACCUUCUAUUGCAUGCCUGGCGCAUGCUAACCAAGCUUUACCUCUGAGAAGCUCACAGACCAACAUUCCUCUGGAGGAGGGAGCAGGUUUUGAUGAAACACACCCACCAAGAAAAACACUGUGACAGGUUGUGAGGUUGGAAGUUGCAACAGAAGCAUCAAGUUCUAACAGAUCCUGCCCUGUUAAGUGAAGUCCCCAGAACAAGAUGCCGUUUCAACGGAAAUGGAUCUGGGCUUUUAAAACUCUCUACUCACGAUGAGAAUAUAAAAAUAUGGGUCCGGGAGAACAAAGGGAGAGAUUUUGGGGGAUGAUUCCUUGGGAAGAACUGUACCCAGCCCGUUUGCCAGCAUGUUGGGGGGGCAUGAAGAGAUCCCUCCUCCACCUCAUCCAAGUUGCUGUAAAAGACAUGAUUUCAUUCUUUUUUAUGGCUGAGUAGUAUUCCAUGGUAUCUGUAUUUUCUUUAUCCACUCGUCGGUUGAUGGGCACUUAGAUUGGUUCCAUGUCUUUGCAAUUGCCCCCACCUCAAAUUUAGUGGGAGGUGCUUCCUGCCUGUCCCUUUCAGGGUGGACACAGGGGACCUGCUGGCCAGCUCCUGUCUGAGAGGAAUAAAAGUUGCCUGACAGCUGAGCUGGCCGCAUUGACGUGGCCUCUACUUGCAGAGGUGUAUGUCCCAUGGACCCUGUGUGAGCUCAGCACAGUGAGGGGGCCAGCCUUGCUCCAAGGCUCCCCUGUCCUGCAGGGAACAGGACCUGCCUGGGG